GCCUAACACAUGCAAGUCGAGCGGAAACGAGUUAUCUGAACCUUCGGGGAACGAUAACGGCGUCGAGCGGCGGACGGGUGAGUAAUGCCUAGGAAAUUGCCCUGAUGUGGGGGAUAACCAUUGGAAACGAUGGCUAAUACCGCAUGAUGCCUACGGGCCAAAGAGGGGGACCUUCGGGCCUCUCGCGUCAGGAUAUGCCUAGGUGGGAUUAGCUAGUUGGUGAGGUAAGGGCUCACCAAGGCGACGAUCCCUAGCUGGUCUGAGAGGAUGAUCAGCCACACUGGAACUGAGACACGGUCCAGACUCCUACGGGAGGCAGCAGUGGGGAAUAUUGCACAAUGGGCGCAAGCCUGAUGCAGCCAUGCCGCGUGUGUGAAGAAGGCCUUCGGGUUGUAAAGCACUUUCAGUCGUGAGGAAGGUGGUGUAGUUAAUAGCUGCAUUAUUUGACGUUAGCGACAGAAGAAGCACCGGCUAACUCCGUGCCAGCAGCCGCGGUAAUACGGAGGGUGCGAGCGUUAAUCGGAAUUACUGGGCGUAAAGCGCAUGCAGGUGGUUUGUUAAGUCAGAUGUGAAAGCCCGGGGCUCAACCUCGGAAUAGCAUUUGAAACUGGCAGACUAGAGUACUGUAGAGGGGGGUAGAAUUUCAGGUGUAGCGGUGAAAUGCGUAGAGAUCUGAAGGAAUACCGGUGGCGAAGGCGGCCCCCUGGACAGAUACUGACACUCAGAUGCGAAAGCGUGGGGAGCAAACAGGAUUAGAUACCCUGGUAGUCCACGCCGUAAACGAUGUCUACUUGGAGGUUGUGGCCUUGAGCCGUGGCUUUCGGAGCUAACGCGUUAAGUAGACCGCCUGGGGAGUACGGUCGCAAGAUUAAAACUCAAAUGAAUUGACGGGGGCCCGCACAAGCGGUGGAGCAUGUGGUUUAAUUCGAUGCAACGCGAAGAACCUUACCUACUCUUGACAUCCAGAGAACUUUCCAGAGAUGGAUUGGUGCCUUCGGGAACUCUGAGACAGGUGCUGCAUGGCUGUCGUCAGCUCGUGUUGUGAAAUGUUGGGUUAAGUCCCGCAACGAGCGCAACCCUUAUCCUUGUUUGCCAGCGAGUAAUGUCGGGAACUCCAGGGAGACUGCCGGUGAUAAACCGGAGGAAGGUGGGGACGACGUCAAGUCAUCAUGGCCCUUACGAGUAGGGCUACACACGUGCUACAAUGGCGCAUACAGAGGGCGGCCAACUUGCGAAAGUGAGCGAAUCCCAAAAAGUGCGUCGUAGUCCGGAUUGGAGUCUGCAACUCGACUCCAUGAAGUCGGAAUCGCUAGUAAUCGUGGAUCAGAAUGCCACGGUGAAUACGUUCCCGGGCCUUGUACACACCGCCCGUCACACCAUGGGAGUGGGCUGCAAAAGAAGUAGGUAGUUUAACCUUCGGGGGGACGCUUACCAC
rnacentral:rRNA from 1 species